rnacentral:rRNA from 1 species
UACGGAGGGAGCUAGCGUUGUUCGGAUUUACUGGGCGUAAAGGGCGCGUAGGCGGCCACCGCAAGUCGACUGUGAAAUCUCCGGGCUUACCCCGGAAAGGUCAGCCGAUACUGCGGGGCUAGAGUGCAGAAGGGGCAACUGGAAUUCUCGGUGUAGCGGUGAAAUGCGUAGAUAUCGAGAGGAACACCUGCGGCGAAGGCGGGUUGCUGGGCUGACACUGACGCUGAUGCGCGAAAGCUAGGGGAGCGAACGGG